rnacentral:rRNA from 1 species
CCCUUAGAUGUCCCGGGCCGCACGCGCGUUACACCGAUGCAUUCAACGAGCUUAUAACCUUGGCCGAGAGGCCUGGGCAAUCUUGUUAACGUGCAUCGUGAUAGGGAUAGAUUAUUGAAAUUAUUAAUCUUGAACGAGGAAUUCCUAGUAAACGCAGAUCAUCAAUCUGCAUUGAUUACGUCCCUGCCCUUUGUUCACACCGCCCGUCGCACCUACCGAUUGGAUGGUCCGGUGAAGCCUCGGGAUUGUGGUUCUUGCCGCUUUAUUGUGGCGUGACCGCGAGAACUUGUCUAAACCUUAUCAUCUAGAGGAAGGUGAAGUCGUAACA